rnacentral:tRNA from 1 species
AAGGCCUUAGCUUAAUUAAAGUGACUGUUUUGCACACAGACAAUGUGGGUUAAUGUCCCGCAGGUCUUA